GCCAACAUGAUGUUGUGGUUUGAAUGUUGGACUACAACUCUGGAGAUCCAGGGUUCGAUUCCCUGCUCAGGCA